UUUGAAACUGGGAGACUUGAGUGCAGAAGAGGAAAGUGGAAUUUCCAUGUGUAGCGGUGAAAUGCGUAGAGAUAUGGAGGAACACCAGUGGCGAAGGCGACUCUCUGGCUAUAACUGACACUGAGGCGCGAAAGCGUGGGGAGCAAACAGGAUUAGAUACCCUGGUAGUCCACGCCGUAAACGAUGAGUGCUAAGUGUUAGAGGGUUUCCGCCCUUUAGUGCUGAAGUUAACGCAUUAAGCACUCCGCCUGGGGAGUACGGCCGCAAGGCUGAAACUCAAAGGAAUUGACGGGGGCCCGCACAAGCGGUGGAGCAUGUGGUUUAAUUGGAAGCAACGCGAAGCCUUACCAGGUCUUGACAUCCUCUGAAAACCCUAGAGAUAGGGCUUCUCCUUCGGGAGCAGAGUGACAGGUGGUGCAUGGUUGUCGUCAGCUCGUGUCGUGAGAUGUUGGGUUAAGUCCCGCAACGAGCGCAACCCUUGAUUUUAGUUGCCAUCAUUAAGUUGGGCACUCAAGGUGACUGCCGGUGACAAACCGGAGGAAGGUGGGGAUGACGUCAAAUCAUCAUGCCCCUUAUACCUGGGCUACACACGUGCUACAAUGGACGGUACAAAGAGCUGCAAGACCGCGAGGUGGAGCUAAUCUCAUAAAACCGUUUUCAGUUCGGAUUGUAGGUUGCAACUUGCCUACAGAAGCUGGAAUCGCUAGUAAUCGCGGAUCAGCAUGCCGCGGUAAUACGUUCCCGGGCCUUGUACACCCCGCCCGUCACACCACGAGAGUUUGUAACACCCGAAGUCGGUGGGGUAACCU
rnacentral:rRNA from 1 species